rnacentral:rRNA from 1 species
UAUUGGUCAAUGGGCGCGAGCCUGAACCAGCCAAGUCGCGUGAGGGAUGACGGCCCUACGGGUUGUAAACCUCUUUUGUCGGGGAGCAAAUUCCGUUACGUGUAACGGAGUCGAGAGUACCCGAAGAAAAAGCAUCGGCUAACUCCGUUCCAGUAGCCGCGGUAAUACGGAGGCUGCGAGCGUUAUCCGGAUUUAUUGGGUUUAAAGGGUGCGCAGGCGGUCUGUUAAGUCAGCGGUCAAAGCCCGGGGCUCAACCCCGGCCCGCCGUUGAAACUGGCAGUCUCGAGUUGGAGAGAAGUAUGCGGAAUGCGCGGUGUAGCGGUGAAAUGCAUAGAUAUCGCGCAGAACUCCGAUUGCGAAGGCAGCAUGCCGGCUCCACACUGACGCUGAGGCACGAAAGCGUGGGUAUCGAACAGG